GAUUUAAAGAGACAGAAGCUGUCGGGGUCCUGGAAGACGGUCCCCAAUACCCUCCCCCCAAGUCCUUGGGACCACUUGGGUCCCCAGAGCUGGGGAGAUGGUUUGUGGCGGCUUUGCCUGCUCCAAGAAUGCGCUUUGCGCUCUCAACGUGGUCUACAUGCUGGUGAGCUUGUUGCUCAUUGGAGUGGCUGCUUGGGGCAAGGGCCUGGGUCUGGUGUCCAGCAUCCACAUCAUCGGCGGAGUCAUUGCUGUGGGAGUCUUCCUUCUCCUUAUUGCAGUGGCUGGACUGGUGGGUGCUGUCAACCACCACCAAGUCCUGCUGUUCUUUUACAUGAUCAUCCUUGGUUUGGUCUUCAUCUUCCAAUUUGUAAUCUCUUGCUCAUGUCUGGCUAUUAACCGAAGCAAACAGACAGAUGUCAUCAAUGCUUCUUGGUGGGUCAUGAGCAACAAGACUCGGGAUGAACUGGAAAGAAGUUUUGAUUGUUGUGGCUUAUUCAACCUCACAACCCUGUAUCAACAAGAUUAUGAUUUCUGCACUGCAGUGAGUGUGUUGGGGGUGGUGCAGCAGCCAGGGGAGGUAGGAAACUGGGUAAGGACAAUGCCCAAGUUGGCAAAUUUAGUUUGAAUGUCAUUGUUUCUCUCUCUACAAGCCCUCUUGUAUUGGGGCUGUGUGUUGGUGGGAGGUGGGGGUGGAUAGAGGCUGGGAAAUUAGCCAAGUAGGAUUUUAGUUUGUAGGACACUGGUCAGAUAACAGUAAAGCUUCUAGGGACAUUUGGCAUAGGUAUUAGUCACCAGCAACUUUACAUUCACAACUUUGCAUUCUUCACAUCUUAUCCUCAGAUCUGCAAGAGCCAGAGCCCCACAUGCCAGAUGUGUGGAGAAAAGUUUCUUAAGCAUUCAGAUGAAGCCCUGAAAAUCCUAGGGGGUGUUGGACUCUUCUUUAGCUUUACAGAGGUAACAUUCUCCAGUUCCCUCACACACAUCCUUUUUAACUUGAGACUGAGAAUUAAUUGAUACUUAUCUCUCUCCCUUUGUUCCUACAGAUCCUUGGUGUUUGGCUAGCAAUGAGAUUUCGGAAUCAGAAGGAUCCUAGAGCCAACCCCAGUGCCUUUCUAUGAGACUUUGGAUCCUUCUGACUUUUCUUCUGCUCUAAGCUUUCUCUUCCUCCCUUAGGGAAUAUCUAGGGUCUGUAACCGUUUUGGUUUGAGAAAAAGGAAAGGCCCCUUGUCACAUCCUCUAAAAUUGAUGGAAUAGCAAGACUUUAUGCCUUGACAUAUUUUAGUGGGAGCCAGACUAUAAGGAAUAAAAGGAAAAACUUUCUCCCUCUCUCUCCAAGAGGAUAUGGGAAGCUUCUAUGAGUGCAUAGGAUGGGGGCUGGAGUCAUUCUUAGCUGUUUCCCUUCCUCCUCCAUCCAUAUACUGGAUCACCUCAACAUACCCUGGUGUGGCUCUAAGGGUAAAUCAGGGAUAGAGCCAAGGAGAAAACAACCAAGAACUCUUUCCUGUAAUAAGCAGGAUCCAGUUUGAGAAAGUUUAGCGAAUAUAAAAGUAAAAGCCAUUUAAAAAUCUAUAUUCUUUUUUUUUUUUGACACAGUCUUGCUCUGUUGCCCAGGCUGGAGUGCAAUGGCAUGAUCUCGGCUCACCGCAACCUCUGCCUCCCGGGUUCAAGCGAUUCUCCUGCCUCAGUCUCCCAAGUAGCUGGGAUUACAGGUGUGCGCCACCACGCCUGACUAAUUUUGUAUCUUUAGUAGAGACAGGGUUUCACCAUGUUAGUCAGGCUGGUCUCGAACUCCUGACCUCAGGUGAUCCACCCGCGUUGGCCUCCCAAAGUGCUGGGAUUAUAGGCGUGAGCCACCAUGCCCCGCCUAAAAUCCAUAUUCAAAGAAGCAAUUUCAGUUCCUUUCUAAGCUUUGUCAGUCAAGGGGCUCCACUGACUUCCUAGGCCUUGUAACUAACCAGUCUUUAAGGUUUUGCAGGAAAGUCCCUUCUUCCAAGUGGUUUUUCCAAAUCGCACAAUGGCAAAGCCAAA
rnacentral:sRNA from 1 species